rnacentral:rRNA from 1 species
GACGAACGCUGGCGGCGUGCUUAACACAUGCAAGUCGAGCGGUAAGGCUCCUUCGGGAGUACACGAGCGGCGAACGGGUGAGUAACACGUGAGCAAUCUGCCCUUCACACGGGGAUGACCCUCGGAAACGAGAGCUAGUACCCGAUACGACCACUUCAGGCAUCUGAUGGUGGUGGAAAGUUCCGGCGGUGAAGGAUGAGCUCGCGGCCUAUCAGCUUGUUGGUGGGGUAACGGCCCACCAAGGCAACGACGGGUAGCCGGCCUGAGAGGGUGACCGGCCACACUGGGACUGAGACACGGCCCGGACUCCUACGGGAGGCAGCAGUGGGGAAUAUUGGACAAUGGGCGAAAGCCUGAUCCAGCAACGCCGCGUGAGGGAUGACGGCCUUCGGGUUGUAAACCUCUUUCAGCAGGGACGAAGCGCAAGUGACGGUACCUGCAGAAGAAGCACCGGCCAACUACGUGCCAGCCGCCGCCGUAA